AAAGAAUGGAUAUAAAAUCAUUUCAGAAAUUUCUAGCUUUCUGAAAGAAAUUUUACUUUUAAAGAAAAAUAGCCUAAUAGAAACCACAUGGGAAUGAGCACAUCCAGUACUAUGGAGAAAAAGUGACCGUGGCUGUCCACACAUAUAGCGUGUUCUGGAUCCAAUUCCUCUUAAUUCCUUCUUGGUAACACUAAUGCUGGUAAACGAGCAUGCUUGAUGGAAUGCCAAGAGUAAUGAUGACAUUGAGCUGUCACCGUGUGCCAGACAUUGAACUGUUUCAUCCAGAUCAUCUCAAUCACUCCUUACAACAAGCCUUUUGAGAUCUUCAACUGUCACCCCUAGUCUACUGAAUCCAUAUUUUGCCAUAAUUUUGGCUACUCUCAUGUUGGCCCUGAUCAUCAUUGGAGUCCCAGGAAUUUCAAACUCUGCUUCAAGAGAAAUGUGGACACCUUGGGGAAAAUUAACAGACUUUCAUGGUCAUAGAGCAUCUACUCCUUUCAGAAUGCCAGCAAAUGCACACAAGAGCUCCCAAACACUUCUUACAAUCAGGGGCAAGAUGCCCUUCCAUGCACCAAAAACCAAGGUGGAAAAGCUCCUGCCAACCUGAGCAGCACAAGGCAGAGGGGAGGCAGCGGCUGACCUCCUGGGCAACCUGCAAUGACAACCUGACAGCAGACCGGCUGGACUCUCCAGACUGCCGCCAGAUAUGUCACGGGAUGCUUCUCAG
rnacentral:lncRNA from 1 species